UUUCCGUAGGUGAACCUGCGGAAGGAUCAUUAUCGAAUUUCGAGGGGAAGGAAGAUGAGGAGUGGAGACUGUCGCUGGCUUUCCCGCCUGGGAAGCAUGUGCACGCCUUGCUUUUCGUUGACCUUUCUCUUACUCUCACACCUGUGCACCCAUUGUAGGUCCUCGAAAGAGGAUCUAUGUUUUUAUCAUCACACGCAUCGUAUGUCCAUAGAAUGUAACAUGAUCGUCGAUCGACCUCGCGGUCGGGUGGCGGUCUAAAUAGAUAAAUACAACUUUCAGCAACGGAUCUCUUGGCUCUC
rnacentral:misc_RNA from 1 species